AAUUGACAGACUCAACCAUAGUUUCAACUAUAAAACUCCAAUGUCUACAUGCAGUAAAAAAAAGCAGUGAGGAGACUCUUGGUUUUUGGAUCUGCAGCAUGCAAGAAAUCCAUAUUUGCAAUGCAGAAGAGUGAUGGGAGUGGUCUUCUGUAUGUGUCUGCAAAAGCUGAAGUUUUGCUUCCCACUACAAGGAGAAUAUGGAACAAGUGGCUUCAGGAUUCCAGUUUAUGGGAUGGAUCUACAAGGGGUCAAAUUGCUUUGAUACCCAAAGGCCAGUGAAAAAGUUACCCUGCUGGGAAAGGAGGGACAGCAGACAAAUCGGGACCUGACUUCCUUGACAGAACUUCUUUCCAACAUUCCUUUGGGGUGGAAAGAAUGGGGAAGAAAACCAAGAUUGAGAUUAGGAGGAGGAGGAAAGAAUACAAAGAUUAGAAAUCGCUUACCACGUGUGUACAUCACAUGUACAGCUCAUUAAUGUUACUAAUUUUUAUUUUCAAAAUGUAUGUAAGAUUGGCUUUAAAGGAUUAGAUACAAAAAUAUUGGGAAUAGAAAUUCUGUAUUCCCAUCUUUAAAUGAGAAGGUUACUCUCUGAGUUUCUACAAUUUUAAAGCUUAAGUACAUCUAUUUCCAUAUUCUUUUUAUAAUAUAUUUUAAAUAUUGUAUUAAGAUUCAUAUGCAUUUUUGUAUAAAUUUCUUCUAACAUGCAGAUUCUUGUCUGCAAUUUGUAUAAUUUUGUUUUGUAAGAAAUUUUCUUCAAUACAGUGCUAUUUUUAUCCUCUAACAUAUAUAGCUGUAUUUGUGUGUAUGUGUUUAUGUGUAUGUAUGUAUAUGUGUGUGUUUGUGUAUAUAUGUGUACACAAACACACACACACACAAACACAUAUGUAAGAAAUGCACUGCAAAAUUCUAGGAACCUGUCAUUUCAAGAGCUUGUAACUUGUUUCAAUUUGUGCAAUUUAUUUAUUUAGAUAAUUUAUAUUGCUGCCCACUCACUUUUGGUAAUUCUAGAAGGCUUACGAAAAAUGAAAAACCAAAAUACAAAGAGUUAAAAAAAGUAACAUCCUCCCUCCCCAACAACAAGCAAACAAGCCACUUGAUGGAAUCCAGCCCGCUCUGGGUUCCGCAGGCCCAUUGGCAAAACCAGGCCUUGCAAAAGAGUGUCAAAGUGGGGGCCAGUUCCAAAGGAAGGGACUCCCCACAGAAAAAGCCCUACUUCUGGGUCACAUCAGAUGUACUUUCUUAGGAGAGGGCCCCGCAACAUUUCCUA